rnacentral:tRNA from 1 species
UGCCUUAGUAUAUCCAUCCUUGUACUUAGGUUUUUGAAGCCUACAGAAUAGGCACAU